GCCAAUGAAGCCAGGAAGUCCAGGAGGCCCAGGAGCUCCAGAAUGCCCUGGUUUGCCAAAACGUCCAGGAGGACCUGGGGGCCCGACGAUGCCCGGGGGUAUAUCAAUGCCUGGAUACCCAGGAUUUCCAACAGGACCUUGUGCCCCCUUGUUUCCUGGUGACUGCUAAAACAGUACCUGGCUCUCCAGCAUAACUGAAUCCUUCAAGACCGUCGUCUCCAGUAUCUCCAACAAAACCUGGUGGUCCUAAAGCAGGAAGAAAAGAUGUCAGUUAUUAUUGUUAAACAAGAUAAAUAUGCACCAGUACCCGGUCGCCCAGGUGGUCCAGGAAGUGCAGACUGUCCUUUUACUCCUUUAGGUCCAUCAGGUCCAGUGAUUCCAUUGAAUCCAGGAAGACCAGGAAGGCCUCUGAGGCCUGGACAGAUGGACAGGAAGUCAAACACAGAGUUGAACAAGAACUAGAUGGUGGACGAUUGAUUGUGUUCACCUCUAUCUCCGGUCUCUCCCUUCUCUCCUGGUGGUCCAGGGUUUCUAGGUACACAAGGUAGAGUUUCACCUAUGGACAGGUGUGUCUUCAGUCAAUUUUGCUUUGCUUGUUUAUAAAGUUUACGACUUUGAUAUAUAGUUUCACCAUAUUGAUCUUUACCUGGAACACCUUUCCGGCCAGGGGGGCCGGGAAAACCUGGGGGCCCAAGAGCACCCGGGUUUCCCUGCUGUCCUAUUGCGCCAACCAAACCUGAUCCUUGGGGGCCGGUCGGUCCUGUUAGUCCUUUGGGACCAGAGGGACCUGGAAAACCUUGUUCCCCAGGAAAACUGAGGUAACUUUCUCCCUGAAAACAAAUGUCACAUAAGCAUGAAGAAUCAAAUAGCAAAAGUCACAAGUGUCUAUUGGAGAGGACGGAUUUCUUGACUGGUCUACAGGCGGUUGAACAAGAUUUUCUCAUAGUGAAUUAGAGCUGUGAGUGGCCAAUUCACCUUUGGUCCAGAGUAUCCGGGAAGUCCUGGUAGCCCAUCCUGACCUCUUCUUCCUAAGAAACCUUGUCUUCCUGCAAGACCCGGCUUACCUCUUUCCCCCUUCUCGCCUGGAGACAAAUGUGUGGUUAAGCACUGACUUCAUCUAGGUCUAUACGAACUUUGUUUUCCAAGGUCGCACAAUGUAGAAUUGCAUUAAGUCAACAUGGAUGACCUUGCCUUUAAUAUCCACCACAGUGAAGUCUCCUUUCUGACCUUUGAACCCUUUGACGCCUGGUAAGCCACCCAAACCCUGCAACCAAAUCAAUCAAUGAAUGAAUGAAUCAAUCAAUCACCACAUAAUCUCUAAAAGAGUUUAAUAUGGUUAUGGUUCUAUAAUACAUUUCUAUAGAAUUAUUAGAUAAAUGACACAGUCACAAGUGCAAUGUAAUCUUUUUUGUACUAAAUAAAACUCUGUUACACCAAAGACCUACACAGACCAGUAUGGAAAUUGCCCGGGUACUUUCCUGUGGAAAGUCCACCACUAGUUCCUUGAAACUUUGGAACCUUGACCUUAAUGGCCAAUGUGAUUUAUUACCUGUUGUCCAUUCCUUCCAUUGUCUCCUGGUAAGCCUUUCUCCCCUCCAGGCCCCUGAAAUCCAGGAGGUCCUUGAUACCCCAACAAUCCAGGUUCACCUGCUAAACCCUGGGUACCCCUCACUACAAUUGGAGGACCACAGGAACAUUCCCCUUGACGACCUGAAUAUAAGCACAUUAAAGUUAUAUCUGACUCCAGAGUCAACUGUUAUCUAAUUACAAAGUACAGUCGUUCCCCGCCUACUCAUAGGUCAACAUUCACUCUCCACAUAUUUACAGAUUUCUGAGAUGUCUGGAAAUGUAACCCCUACAGAAGCGUGUUCCAUUAGUCCCCUAGUGCGUAUCAAUCAUAAUGAAUUUUUAUUUUUAUUUUGGUCAAAAUACUGACCUUUGAAUCCUUGGAACCCUGGGGAUCCUGGCACUCCUUGUUCACCAGGUUCUCCAGACACUCCUGGGGCUCCGGGAAGACAGUAAUAGCCUACAGAGAAAAUAGAAAAGUUAGCAUGACAAAAAACAUUAAAAAGUGUUCGAUUCACAAGGGUAUACCUGGCCUUCCAGGCAGUCCUUUUGGUCCUCUGGGUCCUGGGAGUCCAGGUGUUCCAGGUUCCCCAGGUACUGUUUGAAAUGUGUAAAUCUGACCGAGAUCUCCUUUGUCACCACGGGCACCUGGACUUCCCCUCGUUCCCACCACACCUGGCAGUCCUGGUGCCAACACAAACUUAGUUCAGUAAAAGUCUCGAAAGGAGACUCUGCAAGACACUCCCCCCGAUGGCCACACAGGAGACUUUAGAACCUUAAAUAACACAGGACAGGAUGUAGCAUAGCUUUGCUCUGACCAGGUAUGGCUCUUCCAGGGAGCCCUCGGGCCCCGUGAGUUCCCAUUAAGCCACGAUCUCCUGGAGGACCCGUCGGUCCUGGAGUUCCCGGAUCUCCAGCAUCACCUUAAAAACAAGCAGCUGCCAAAAUGUUGCAUGGGAAAAUGCGAGCUCAACACAGUGUCGAUAUUUACCUAAAUGGGUAAUAACAUCAUCCCGGGGGACACCUUUGAAACCGGGACUUCCCGUCAUGCCCUGAGAACACACCAGCUGGCCCACGGCAACCAACUGGUGACAACAAAGUCCGGAUCACAAAACCAACCUUUGGGCCUUCUCGUCCGAUCAGUCCUGGAAGACCUGGACUUCCCACGGUCCCCUGUAACACAGUUACACACGUCAUUGGUGGCACGAGUCCUGCAC